CCAGUGACCAUGUAGGGAAAGAAGGAACGUUUCUCUUUUACAGUGUAUUGAAUAUUGUCGAUGCUUCCAGAUACUCUUAUGUUUGUGUUUCUCUGAUACAAGAUGACGAUCCUUCAGUUCCUCCGGCACAAUAUCCUCCUCAUCUCUACACUUCUCGCUGUUGUCCUGGGAAUUGUUGCUGGGAUGGUGUGCCGGACGCUAAAGCCGUCCUCUGACACUAUUCAGCUGGUGCAGUUUCCUGGAGAUCUUUUCCUUCGUAUGCUGAAGGUGUUGAUCCUGCCUCUAACAGUAGCCAGUAUCAUUACAGGUCUGGGGAACAUGAAAGGAUCAUGUGCCGGAAGGAUAGGUGUACUGUCUAUGGUUUAUUAUGCAAGUACCUCUGUUGCUGCAACACUGGUUGGCUUGACAUUAGUCCUGACCAUCAAACCUGGAGCUUACUCAGACUCGUCGGCAACCGAUGUAUUACACAAUAACGCUAUGGCAUCAACAAUGGACAUCUUCAUGGACUUAUUGAGGUAACAUUUUGUUUGUUUAUUCUCCGCAUUUGGGAUGUGAUGACAUGCAUCAGCGAGCAUCUUACGACAAGUAUUGGUUGCUGAAGACCAAUUCGAAACAGGAACAUCACAGGGCGUUAAG